GCCGUGAUAGCUCAGUUGGGAGAGCGUCAGACUGAAAUCUGAAGGUCCCUGGUUCGAUCCCUGGUCACGGCA
rnacentral:tRNA from 1 species